UAGCUCAGUAGGUUGGAGCGUGGUGCUGAUAACACCAAGGUUGCAGGUUCGAUUCCUGU
rnacentral:tRNA from 1 species